CCUACGGGGGGCAGCAGUGAGGAAUAUUGGUCAAUGGCCGUAAGGCUGAACCAGCCAAGUAGCGUGAGGGAAGACUGCCCUAUGGGUUGUAAACCUCUUUUAUGCGGGGAUAAAGUUGUCCACGUGUGGAUGUUUGCAGGUACCGCAUGAAUAAGGACCGGCUAAUUCCGUGCCAGCAGCCGCGGUAAUACGGAAGGUCCGGGCGUUAUCCGGAUUUAUUGGGUUUAAAGGGGGCGUAGCCCGGUCUUUAAGCGUGCCGGGAAAUUUUGUGGCUCAACGAGGAGAGUGCGGCGCGAACCGGAGACCUGGAGUGCGCGGAAGGUAGGCGGAAUUCGUGGUGUAGCGGUGAAAUGCUUAGAUAUCACGAAGAACCCCGAUUGCGAAGGCAGCCUGCCGCAGCGUGACUGACGCUGAAGCUCGAAAGCGCGGGUAUCGAACAGGAUUAGAUACCCGAGUAGUC
rnacentral:rRNA from 1 species